rnacentral:rRNA from 1 species
AUUGAACGCUUGCGGCAGGCCUAACACAUGCAAGUCGAACGAGUGGCGGACGGGUGAGUAAUGUCUGGGAAACUGCCCGAUGGAGGGGGAUAACUACUGGAACCGGUAGCUAAUACCGCAUACCAUCAGAUGUGCCCAGAUGGGAUUAGCUAGUAGGUGGGGUAACGGCUCACCAAGGCGACGAUCCCUAGCUGGUCUGAGAGGAUGACCAGCCACACUGGAACUGAGAAACGGUCCAGACUCCUACGGGAGGCAGCAGUGGGGAAUAUUGCACAAUGGGCGCAAGCCUGAUGCAGCCAUGCCGCGUGUAUGAAGAAGGCCUUCGGGUUGUAAAGUACUUUCAGCGGGGAGGCGUUACCCGCAGAAGAAGCACCGGCUAACUCCGUGCCAGCAGCCGCGGUAAUAC